CUAAUCAGUGGAGCCCUUUAAAACAGUGUUUCAAGGUCAGAGACCCGAAACAGCUGAGUCUCUUGUGGUUUUGAAGAAGCAAGCUGCAGGUGGAGGGGCUGAUGGUGGCCUCCUGGAGCUGAAGGCCGCACCGUUGGGAACUGAACUUGGCCAGUGACUAGUGACCGGGCUUUCUGUCAAUAAGCACUUGGUUCCAGUUCUGAAAGGGGAUCUUCCAGAACCAGGGAUUGAACCCACAUCUUCUGCAUCGGCAGACGGAUUCCAUACCGCUGAGUCACCAGGGAACCUCCCUGCCCAAAGACCAACAUCCUGAUUUUUUUACUCCAGAGAGAAGAGUCUGAGUCAGAACUGAGACGUGGAGCCACCAAAGCAGUUCUGCCUGGUCUGAUGGUUAAGACUCCAGUCCCUGUUCUUCAAAAUGUUUACAUCUUCAGGGCCACCCAGCAAGACUUCAUGCAGAGGACCCACUACAACGACCUCCUAACACACAACCACCCAGUGACACAAACAGGGUCCAAAGGGAUUGUCUGUGACCAAGAGAGCUCUAACCAGAGAACCCACAUGGAAACGUCUUUCUCUUUCCC